UGCUGCCAUCUGUCCUUGGUUCGUCGUUGCCGGAUCCUCAUUCGCGUUCGCGCUGCGCUUGUAAAAGUUCGAGCUCGAAGGUUGAGCUGGACUUACCGUCACUUUUACGUUGCAGAAUUGAACCCACCGCCAACGGAGCAAAUAUGUCAGCAAUUUAACGAGCUGCGUAGCGACAUAGUUUUGCAUUACGAGCUGAAAAGCGCGUUGUCAACCUGUGAUUACGAGUUGCAAUCCUUAAGGCAUCAAUACGAAGCGCUAGCGCCGGGCAAGACGCUAACGAUACCACCGGCGCUCCUGCCGAAAACAGAACCGGAAGUCAAGGCGGAUAUCAUUGACGUGGUAGGAUCGCCCAGCACGCCCAGUGUUACACAUUAAUUCAAAGUGAUCUUGACUUGAAACUGGAAUUAAUCGAGUAAGUUCUGUACAUAUAUAUGUAUCUGUUCUUUUAACUGCAACGUGCCAAUUUUCAUAUUGAAAGUUGUCGAGCACGCGUUGCCCCGUUACGCCACUGUAUUGUGUUACGAAGCAACUUUUAUUUUAUACUGAAGAAAUAAAUAAAAAUAUAAACGACACCU